AGGAGUGGGAAGUUAUGCACAAAUGGCCGUGUAGUCUAUUGAUCAAGAUUCUUGGGUGAACUUCUAUGGAAACAUAGGGAAGACACUGCUAUCUUUGAUAUGUGUAUCAUUUGAUCUUCUUUUCAUUUGCCAACAUUAUGUGCUGUAUCCUUCCAAGAAGGCAUUGAUAUCUCCUAAAAUGAUCACCAACAAGGAGGACUUGGAGCCCCUUGUCAGUUCUGAUAAUCACCGGCCAAGUGUCUGAAAAUGUCUAGAACUUUUGUUUUGCUGGUGAAAAUUGUACAAAAGCUUCGUUGGGCCCAAGAUGUAUGCUUUUAUUUUGUAAUGAUUCUGCAAAAAAGUAUUGUUCUGACUUUCUGGACAGUAUAACCCAUUUUACUUGGCCACUUGGCUCUCAAACUUUCGUUUGGGGCUUAAAUUAAUUGGGUUUUGUUUCUCCUUAAA